AGUCAAGGGGUCUGAAUACUUUCUUAAUGCACUGUACAUAGUGUUUGGGAUCAUUCACCCAUUGGAUAUAAGACACUAGAACCAUUUAAAAUUAUUAAAAUUGGAGUAAAUGUUCUUUUUCAGCAGGGUUUGCAUGAUUCAGCUCAAAAAAUUUGGCAAACAACAGCUGGCAGAGCGCACCAAAGCGGGUUAAGGUCUCAUGGCAUACUGGACCCAGUCAACACGCUGGGCUCGUGCCUAUUCCGUUUGAGACUUGAAGGACUCGGCAUGGAGUCUUGGGGGCUUCGUGCGGAUGAGCUCUUCCCGAGUCCGGCAGAAUCAUAUUACUCUGGGCUCCGGCUAAUGGUACUCGAGCCAGGCCCAUUUCAGUUUAUCCGGCCCGAUUAACUUUUUCAGGAGUAGGGCCAUUUAUGUUUUUUAUUCAGCAAGGGAUGAAAUACCAAUAUAGAAAAUAAAUAAAUAUAUAUAUUUCACCUCCAGGUCAUCGAAUUUUCUAGGUCAUUGAAAGUUAAAUUUUGUGUCAGUCUCUGCGGUCCUAUAGCUAUCAGAGAUGGUCCAUAAUUUAGAGAAUAUCCAAUCCUAUAAAUGCUUUUGCUUUUACUAAAGGCCAUGGCAGCUUUUGUUUUACAGUCCACCCAAUUAAAAAGUGCUCAUUCAUUUCCAUAACAUUGUUUCUAGGUUACCAGCAUAUAAGAUAUCCAUGCACAAUAAUAACUUUACAAAAAUUCAAUGCCGUUAAAAUUCAGUAAGACUGCAGUACAAUGAAAUACUGGAUGUUUAAUUAAUGAUAUCUGCUAACUUGCUGUAUGUGUUGGCUUCUAUGGUCAUCUUUUGUCUGUGUUAGCUAAUUGCACUGUUUAUUGUGCUGCACAUGUUCUUCUGGUCCACUGUAUGCCAUUUUGAUGUUCUAUUAUGACUAACAAAAAAAGAUCUGAAUUUAACAAAUAACACACAGGCCUAUUUUUUCAAUAUCCUACUACAAUUUACCAGGAUUUACAAAAUCCUAUUUUCAUCGCAUUUAUUUGAAUCACUAAUUAGUCAAACAUGAUUGCACCUGAAUUUGAACCUGAAAAUAUGACUAUAAUAAUUCCCCUUAACGCUUUUAAGCAAUUAACAUAAUGCGGGCAGUAAUUGUAUUUUAAUUUCGGUGGCUAAAUAAGGAGGUAGGCAUAUCAGUUCCAGCUGAAACUUGGAUUGGAAUCUGUGCUUCACGUGCAGCAAUAGAUAUCUACGCGCAGCAGGCAGCCUGCUUGCUUCAGCAUCAACAUUCCAUAAGGCCGUUGGGACAGAGCACCGGGCAACACAACAGCACAGCUGGAAAAGAAUGACAGUUUCUCAAUGUACAGAAAAAUAUAUAUAUUUGACUGCUAAGUGGUAGUCUGUUCUCCUGCAUUCUUGUUUUACUGCUGUACGUAAAGCGGUGGUUUGUUGGGGAAAAGAACGUCAAGGAAAGGUUCGCUAGCUAGCUAACUUUAGCUAUCUAACAUUAUCUCUCUGGCUAAUCCUCCAUUGACAUGGUAAGUUUUCAUUUUGAUAAAUGUUUAGUUAAUGACAGUAAAUGUAUGUGUGUUCUCUGUGUGAGAGUGUGUUUGAGGGAGAGAGAGAUGAUGAUGAUAACUAUAUUUUCUUUAAGUUAUUGUGAUGUCAACAUUGUGACAUACUAGUUGUGUGUGUGUGUGAGAGAGUUGAUGACACAUAAGAAACAUUGAUUGUGUGUGUGAGACAUUGCAAGCUAGCCUAAUUCUUGAAAUGUGUACCCCCCCCAAUAUGGAUUUAAAGUUUUUCUUGAUUCAUCAGAGAUCCUUGUAUUUUUUUGUAUUUGACAAUAUGAUACAUUUUGCUAUACCUUCUCCCCCUCAACACUCAUUCACAUGUUGCACCUCUCAACUGCCUUUUUCAAUUCUUGAUUCUCUUUUUUUGCAGGAAUCUUCCCACAAGGCACACACUGGUUGAAUCAACGUUGUUUCCACAUCAUUGAAAUGAAAUUAUGUUGAACCAGCGUGGAAUAGACGUUGUAUUAACGUCUGUGCCCAGUGGAGUCCAGCUUGGAUAGAAGGAUAGAGGCGGUAACAAAGGAAAGGAGUACAGAAGUUAUCCAGCCUGCUGACUAAGACAUUUAAAUAGCCUAUGUUUUGCUGUCUAUCUCUCUCCAUCUGUCGGCCUGACUGCCAGAUUGCUGAGGGGCAACAUAGACUUAGCCUAGCAAGACCUUAGGUAAUGGUUAAUCAUGAUUUGUCUCGGUCUUUAAAGUUCCUGAAACAUGUCAAUGACCUGUUGCACGGCUUCUACAGCAGUGCUUGGCCACACACUCAGUUACCAGUGACCUAUUCUACUACAUCACUGGGAUAGGAGAGAGCAGACCAACCCCUCCUUAAAUCCAUAGUCAUUGACAGUUUUGGGUGGAAAAUGUUUUUUUUUUUUUCUAUUUGAUACUCUGAUAUUCAAUGUGUAUUGAUUCCUACUAAUCAGCUUUGUAAGAGCUAGGUUUGUACUAGCUAUGCUGAUGAUCGUUAACAUUUUUUCAUUAAAUCACUGAGACUGGAUUCCCCAAGAGACAUGCUAUUCAGCUGCCCAUGAUUGCCUGAGUGCAAAACCGUUCUGAUUCAAGAGAUACCUACCUCUCUUGAUUGAUGACCAAUGAAUUAAUAUUCCACUUCAAUAUAAGGGCCAGGAGGAGCAAGCAUGCCUUUGCUACCACUAGUGUGUGCUCUUCAUUGUAGUUGUAAGUGUCAUGAAAAGUCAGAACACUCAGGAGGUUGACGUGUUACUCUGGAAAGUGUUGAUGUGUUACGGGCCCUCUGGAAAGUCCUAAAAUGUGCCCCUGACUGUCGUGGUGGAGGAGGACACAAAAUCUGAUCCGUCACACGACUCUUCAAGAGGACCACUACGCUCCAGAUCGCCUUCUGUCCUCAGAGGUCCUUCAUGAGGAUCUACCCCAUCACACCACUCUUAUUAAUCAUUAAUCAAAUAAAAACAAUGAGCCUUUA